CACACACACACACAUACACACACCAGUGGUAGCAGAGCUGCCACGCAAGGCGCUAACUUGCCAUCGGGAGCAACUUGGGGUUCAGUGUCUUGCCCAAGGACACUUCGGUAUGUGGAGUCACGCGGGCGGGGAAUCGAACCGCCAACCCUACGAUUAGCGGACGACCCGCUCUACCACCCGAUCCACAGCCGCCCCUAAUAAGACCAGAAUAAGACCCUGUAGAAUUAUUGAAUAUGUCGAGGAGUAAGGUUAAAGCUUUUAUAAUUGUUAUAUAAUAAUCUGAAUAUUAAUGAGAAGUAUUAGGUAACGUUUCCUUUAUUUAAGACAUCACCACGACAACGGGUUCACGGUGGAUUAGUGGUUAGCGCGUUCGCCUCGCACCUCCGGGGUUGGGGGUUCGAAUCGCACAUCCUCCCUGCACGCGUGGAGCUUGCAUGUUCUCCCUGUGCUUUCGGGGUUUCCUCCGGGUACUCCGGUUUCCUUCCCGGUCCAAAGACGUGCGCUGUAGGCAUGUCGAUUGGCAUUUCCAAACUGUCCGUAGUGUGUGAAUGAAUUGGAACCCCGUCCAGGGUGUCCCCUGCCUCGUGACCCUGUGUAGGAUACGCAGUACAGAAAAUGGAUGGAUCUUUGGCCGCUUUCAGGCAUUUAAAUAUUUCAGAAUCAUUGCUACAGGACAAAGCGGCUUUGGAGCUUUGGAGCCGUGGUCGUGUUGGCAGCAGCGACAACGCCACCACAAGUGACAACUGCAGGAUGAAAAUCUGUUCUAAGUGUGAGAGUCAGAUAAGAGGCUGUUCCCAGAAUGCACACGCACCCUGUUGGGCUGGUGAAGGAUGCGCAGCACUGAUACUGUUCAGAAGAAAAAGGCGAGAUGGUAUCUGCGAGUGGUGUGUUAGUGUGUGACCGGAGUCAGUUGUUUUUAGUUAGGUUUAUAUUGAAACCUUGGCCUUGAAGUUGUCACCUUGGAAAGGAGCUCAUCCUCCUCACUGAAAGUUCUUUCUGUAAGUCAGUGCUGUCAACAAACAGGCUGUGGUGUCUGUGGCUGAACCUCUGUAAGAUAACGAAACACAACUUACACGAACACACAUUCGUGCUCGGUUAGCAUGGCAAAAAAAAUAGCGGUACGAAACCGUGCGCGUGCUCAUAAAGUGCACUGCAAAGGUAUUCACUCCCUUUUGAACAAGAUGGAGUCCACAUGAAAGCGAGAGGGAGUCAAGACAGAGCCCACAUGAAAGCGAGAGGGAGUCAAGAUGGAGUCCAAAUGAAGACGAGAAGGAGUCAAGAUGGAGUCCAAAUGAAGACGAGAGGGAGUCAAGACAGAGUCCAAAUGAACGCGAGAGGGAAUCAAGAUGGAGUCCAAAUGAAGACGAGAGGGAGUCAAGAUGGAGUCCAAAUGAAGACGAGAGGGAGUCAAGACAGAGUCCAAAUGAAAGCGAGAGGGAGUCAAGACGGAGUCCAAAUGAAAGCGAGAGGGAGUCAAGACGGAGUCCAAAUGAAAGCGAGAGGGAGUCAAGAUGGAGUCCAAAUGAAGACGAGAAGGAGUCAAGAUGGAGUCCAAAUGAAGACGAGAGGGAGUCAAG
ensembl:lncRNA